UGACGAAUGUAGAUGUCUUACUAUGUUGAAAGUGUUGUUCAGAGAUAGUGUGCAACAUGGGACACUAGCAAAAUGUCUAAGACGAUGGACCUGCUGAAUGAUUUGCUUGUACGUGGUUCAAAGGAUCUGACUUUACUGUGUGAUACCAUCAGAGUAAAUGGACAUUAUGGUCUUCAAACAAAGAUUCAAGAAACACUAUCAUCAUUCCUAAAUGUUAAAGAAAGGAAAAUUUCAACAAAAUAAAUCACACCUCACAGGCAAAAGCUGAUGGAAUUGGGGGAAAAUUGACUGCAGCUGAUGUGUCACAGAUCGAUGGAUUGUAUAAUGAACCUAAGGAGUAUACAGACAGCUGGAGUAUGAUCUAGAAAGCAGACUGAAUAUGAGAGAAGGAAAUAUGAAGGAUUCGAUUUGUUGGAAAAAUUUAAUCUCAGUCGGGCAUUGGAGGCACUAACAGAAGGUUUUAGAGUUUCUGAGGCAAGAGAUGAAAGUUUUGACCACUGGAAUGAAGCAUCCUGUGUUGGAUGGGCUCGCAAGAAAUGCAUUUUCAUGAUUUGGAAGAGUGGAGAACAUUCUAUCCUGUGCGGAGAGAGAUUGAUAACGACAGGCAAACUACAUUGGUAGAGCGAGUGACGCCGCUCUGAGCUCCGGCUCUUUAGUUUAACAUUUUGCCCACUUCCUUGAUGAGCUUUUACAUUAAAUGUGGAUUCUAAAUGAAGGAAAAUAUAUUUAAUAUUGCUACUUUCAAUGUUAGAGGAUUAGGCGACAAAUUCAAGAGACAUCAACUAGCAACAUAUAUAACAAAUUAUAAGGUGGACGUAGGCUGCCUUCAAGAAACUAAACUCACGGAGACGAUUGACGAAUACGUACACGAAUGCCGAUCCAUCAAUCUAGGCACUAAGGUUAAGUAUUAUGGAUGUGGCUUCAUUAUUCACAAGCGAUGGGCACCAAGUAUUUCUAAAUUUUGGAAAGUUUCAGACCGAAUAUCAGUUUUACAACUUAAAACGAAGGAGAACAAGUUUAUUACUUUAAUUAAUGUCUAUGCACCCACCAUUAACCGGGCAGAAAAAUACCCGGCCGAACGUGAACGUAUGUACAAGGAAUUAGAUUAACUCGUAAGUAAAUUUGCAAAUAAGACAUUUCUUCUAAUAUGCGGAGAUUUUAAUUCAAAAAUUGGCAAGAAACAUUUAGAUGAAGAAAAAUGUAUCGGAAAUUAUUCAAAAAGAUUUCGUAAUGAUAAUGGGGAUGCCCUAAUUGAUUUUUGUGAAAAUAACAAUCUAUUUAUCACAAAUAGCGCUUUUCAACACCCUGCAAGACACAUCACAACUUGGGCAUAUCAACGGAAAAACAAAAAUGGACAAUGAAUUAAUAUUUACAACCAGAUAGACUUUAUUAUUUGUAAAACAAGGUGCAAAAAACACUACCUUGUAACUCUAGAUCAUACGGAGGUACACAAGUAAUAAGCGAUCAUAGAAUCGUAAUAACAACACUUACAUUGACUUGGCAUAACAUUAAACGACAACGAAACUCAAACAAUAGUAGGCAAUUUGCAUGUGAAAAACUGGCGGAUAAAGACAAACGAAAGAAGUAUGUGGACGAUUUUAUUAAAAACACAACAGAUAACAGAAUACCUGAUCGACCCAAUAGAGCAUGGGAACAUAUAAGAAAAGUGAUUAAAAGAGCUGCAGAAAAUUCUAUUGGUUUCAAACAAAUAAAUCAAAACAACAAUAGAAAAUUACGACGAAGAAAUUCAAGAUCUAUCCAUUAAACAGAAAAGCAUACGGUUAAGGAUUACAAACUGCAAAACAGACGACGAACGAAAUAUUCUUAAAAAAGAAAGAAACAAGGUACUACAUGAAAUCCAACACUGAACAAGUGAAAAUAGAAACAAUGAACUUGACGCUAAAAGUUAUGACAUUGACCAAGCCGUUAACGGCGCCAGAAUGUUUAGAGCGGUAAAAGAACUUUAUAGAAAAAAAUACGAAAUUCCAAAAGUCGUAGAUGACAGCGGAAAAUUUAUUGGAAACGAUCAGGAAACUGCUAGGGCCAUUGGUAAACUUUUUAAAAGUAAAUUCUUCAACAUAAAUGGUCCGAUCAUCGCACCAUUCGAAGGACAAGGAAGGCCUCUUAUAAAUGAAUAACAAAAUCCGAAGUUUACAAAAGUUUGAAAAAACUAAACAAUAAUCGCUCAGCUGGAGAAGAUGAAUUAAAGGGUGAACUAUAAAAAUAUGGUGCAGAUGUUCUGUCGCCUAUUAUAGUAAACAUUUUCAAUAAUAUUUUCAUAAUGCAUGAACCUAUUGAUAUAAAUAAAGGUAUCCUCGUCGCACUACAAAAACCUGGUAAGGAAAAGGGUCUGAUGAAAAAUCUCAGACCAGUCAUAUUACUCAACACCAUCAGAAAAUGCAUGUCACUGAUUGUGCUAGAAAGAAUCCGCCACAAAAUUGACAGCUACCUACCAACAAGUCAAAGUGGAUUCCGACCUGGACGCAGCACAAGCGACGUAGUUCUGACUUAUAAAUGAAUGAUUGCCAAAGCAUCAAGAUACAAUCUUGAAUUCCACAUCACUGGGAUUGAUAUGACGAGUGCAUUCGAUACCAUUAACAGGGACACACUUUUACAAGUACUGAAUGGGAUUAUUAAUGAAGACGAACUUCGGAUAAUAAGAUUUUUGCUAAGCCAUAAACAGGGCUCAACUUAAACUUACGAAGGACUUUAGACAACGUAUAUUUUGACACGAAUACUGGAGUACCACAAGGGGACAGUCUUAGCCCAGUGCUCUUCACGGUGUACCUUGAACACGGCUUAAGGGGAAUAAGGGAGAGAAGUAAUGAUCAUAUUCCAAAUGAGAUCUCGUAUGCGGAUGAUGUCGAUUUCAUCAGCCUAAACGAGAAGGCUAAUGUAGACCUUAUUGGAGCUCACCUAAUUUCGUUUAAUCUUAAACAAAGAUAAAACAGAAUACAUAGUAAUUAAACGAGAAGAACUGGUCAAAGAGAACUGGAGACUAACAAAAAAGUUAGGGUCCCUUCUUGGAGACAAAGAAGAUAUCACCAGAAGGAAACAACUUGCUGUGAACACAAUGAACAAAAAGACAGCACUCUGGAACAGAAAAGAAAAAAUUAGAUUAAAAACAAGACCGAGGUUGUACAACUCACUAGUGAAACCGGUGCUUUUAUACAAUAGUAAUACAUGGGCCUUAACGAAAGAUGAUGAACUAAAGCUAAACACUUUCCAUCGUAAGCAACUCCGAAAGAUUAUUGGACUGAAAUAUCCACAUAGAAUAUCAAAUAAACACCUUUAUGAUAGAUGUACGGCGAGACCCAUGUCACUAGAAAUUUUAGAAUCGAGAUGGCGAUUAUUUGGCCACAUCCUGAGACAAAACACAAACAAUCCUACAAACCUGGCAAUCGACUUCUACUUCACCGAGACCAAUGACAGAAAAUUCAGGGGACGUCCAAGGACUACAAUAAUCACAACUCUCCAUAACGACCUAUAGUAAGAUCCAGUCUACCAAUACUCAAUAUCCUGCUCAACUAAAAAUUUAAAAUGAUAUGGAGAAAUUAAAAUUACUGGCACAAAACAGACACAUUUGGAAAGGGCUCAUCGAGGAACUAAGUAAAGCGGCCGAAGCGGAACUGAAAUCGGACUUUUCGGCGAUACGGCGAUGAUGAGGAUGAU